rnacentral:lncRNA from 1 species
UAUUGUAGUUGAGUUCGGACUAAGAGGUGAUAUAAAGGCAUACGUUGCAUUCACCUGGUUUAACUUACCUGGAAGAUCGAAGAUCGAACACGACAAGAAGAAAGCUCCCCGAGCCUUACUGGCUAAAACCAUCACACGACACCACACCACUCUCUAACGUCAUGGUUGGUUGGGUCGGUGUUGGUAAUGACAACUGUCGUUGUAUUGGCUAACUAAGACAGGGAGAAUAUGACUCUUCGAUGACACAUAACAUCAUUAAUUGGCAGCAGUCAAUUACAUCAGUACCGUCGAUUUUUUUGCAAUCUCAAGAAAAAAUGGCGAUCACUUGAUCGAAUUCAUAUUCGAAAUAUCGGUAAACACAAUGGAAAGAAUUACUCGUAUUGAAUCAGAAUUUUUACCACCCACUGGAUACAAUAACACGGAUCAUCGACUUACUUAUGAAAAACUAAUACUUGGUAUAAAUCAAAUUGACGAUUGGAAAUUAAUCGUCAAACGUUUAUCCAGAUUAUGAUCAACAAUAUGAUCUUAAUUGCAUUAAUGUUUGAAAUCAAGUUACGGUGUCUUCGUACAAAAUCUGGAAAUAACAUGGAAAGUAUUACGUUUUACGAGUAUCAACGGAAAAUGAUGAAUGUAAAAUUAUCCAGGAUUUUUAUCGCGAUCAAGACAUCUUCCAGGGAGGUUCCUCGUCGAGUACCGGUCAACGAAUCGAAUCCUAUUUGCUUUUAGAAAUUUCUAAAACAUAUGUUAGAUCAUAUCAUUUUGAAUAUUGAUGCAAUAAUGUAAUUAGUAUUGAUUUAAUUGAUUUUUAAAUUGUUCCGUAUAUGUGAAACAAAACAAAAAAAAAUUGAUUCGUUGACUGGUCACUCGGUUUCAUCAAGAAAUCUAAAAUCGGCACAUCUUCCUUUUCCUUGCUUUACUAUUAUUGUUUUGAACUCUGACUGUUCCCCCCUCCCCAAAAAAAAUUGUUCUAUCAUUCUAUCCAGGUGAAUCGUUUUUAUCCGCUCGGAACAGUUGAACCUUCUCGACAAACCUAACGUUCUGUGAUAGCCCUUUUCUCGCUUGUCUAUCGAUUAUCAAGUAUUUCGUAAUUUAAUCGAUUCUUUUCUCUUUUAUCGCGAUCAAAUAUAGAAUCGAUGAAAUUACUUGAUCCUUGAUAAAAACGAUCAUCCACUAUGAUUUAUAAACAAUCUUUGCUAAAUAAUUCUCAACUCUUUUACUAUACUUCAGCUACGUCUAUCUAUUUCUUCUUUUUUGUUUAUUUGUCUAUCACCUUAUCUUUUUUCUUUUUCUUGAUCGCCUUGCAAACACGAUUUGUAAAUCUUUAUGAAAUUAUUCUCAGCUCUCUUGCUAUACUUAAGCUACGCCUAUCUUUAUUUUGAUUUUUCUAUCCUUUCAUUUCUUUCUUAUUCUCGCUAAAUUCUUUCUUUUUUACGCUAAAUUUUUUCAAAUUUCUGUUUCACGUGCAGCAUCUUAACUUUUUCUUAAUUUCUUUUCUUCUAAGCUGUAUGUACCUAUUUACUUACUUACUUACUUACUUACUUACUUACUUACUUACUUAUCUUAUUUUAUUUUCUAUAAGGAUCUCUACUUUUAUUUCUUUUACUUUAUCUUUCGUUGCCAUCAACAUAUCAGUAUUAUCAGAUUCAAGAUUUCUUGAUUAAUCUUGUCAAUGUAAAUUUUCAUUUCGAUAUUAUUUUCUACUAUUUUCUAUUUACAUUAUCUUUCCCAAUUUCUUCCUCCUCUUCUUUCUUAGCUUUAUUUUCUAUUUUUUUGUGUGUGUAAAAUUUCCUUUUAAGAUCUCUAAAAUGCGUUUCUUCUUUAUAUCUAUGUAUUAAUUUUUUCAUUGUAUUAUAUGAACUUUUAUUUCUUUACUACUGUACCUGAACACUAUCGCUUCGAAUAUAUUAGGUAAUUAAAUAUAAAACGUCUGAUUA